CUUCAUCUUAGGUGAAAGAUUCAUGAGACUAAGAUUUCUCUAUCUUAGGUGAAACUUUCAUCCGACUAAGUUUUUUCCUCAACCAUUUUCUCCGAAACUUGUUUUAUCUACCUUCUACCUUGCAUUUCUUUCCUUCAGAAAUGCUUCCCAAAAAAAACUGGUGUUGUCCUCCUUCAAAAACCGCUUCCCUUACAACUUGAUGUUCCAAUCCUCCGAAGAUUACUUUCCGUAAAUUGGUAUUUCUUUCCUGAACACAACUUCCCUCUUCUUCUUUUAACAAACUUGUAUUUGACUUUCAUGUUCUUCAAAUGGGUGCCCGACUUCGAAAAUGAUUUUCAAAACGGCAGAAAAUUUUCUGUCCCAGCAUUUCUUUCCGCCAUCGAUAAGAUUUUCAUGCCCCUAUUUCAAAUCAAAGAAAAUUUUUUCAGAUUAAAGUGUGUUGGUUGGGUUUGGUAUUUCCGCUGGAGAUGGCUUUCUCCUUUCAAUGCUAUGUGUUGUCCGCCCAUCUUUGGAACUUGACUGAUGACUUCCGACUUUCUUGACGACUCUUUAUUCACAAACAUUCACAUUUUACCGUUCUUAUCAGCUAUGAAUCCCAAAGCAUGUCUGUUGUCCCCACAGGAUGUUGUUCUUUCUUGGCUUAUCUGAUGGCCUUGACCCUGAUGUUUGUUGCUCACUUACUUAUCAUGAUGACGUUCUUUUCAUUUGAAGACCCCACUUGUUUCUUGCCUAACCAUUUCCUUUUCCACUCUUGGCACCGAGCAAUACCUCUUUUAUUUGUUGCACUGCUCAAGAACCGUCGUCUAUCAAGAUUUUAUGUUUCACCAGGAUCCCCCAAUGCAUAUUGAUUAUUACUAGCUUAGUGCUCUUGUGGUUUUCUUGACUUGUGACAUUUGAUACGCAAGCCAAACUCCAUUUUGUGCAAUUGAAAAGCUGGUGGAAAAUUUUGAAUUCAUUUGUCACUUGUUAUACCCAAAGAGACUCAGAGAGAGGA
rnacentral:lncRNA from 1 species